GAUGAACGCUGGCGGCGUGCUUAACACAUGCAAGUCGAACGAUGAAGCCGGAGCUUGCUCUGGUGAAUUAGUGGCGAACGGGUGAGUAACACGUGAGUAACCUGCCCUUGACUCUGGGAUAACUGCGGGAAACUGUAGCUAAUACCGGAUACGACCCUCGGAGGCAUCUCCUGGGGGUGGAAAGAAUUUCGGUCAAGGAUGGACUCGCGGCCUAUCAGCUAGUUGGUGAGGUAAAGGCUCACCAAGGCGACGACGGGUAGCCGGCCUGAGAGGGUAACCGGCCACACUGGGACUGAGACACGGCCCAGACUCCUACGGGAGGCAGCAGUGGGGAAUAUUGCACAAUGGGCGCAAGCCUGAUGCAGCAACGCCGCGUGAGGGAUGACGGCCUUCGGGUUGUAAACCUCUUUUAGUAGGGAAGAAGCGAAAGUGACGGUACCUGCAGAAAAAGCACCGGCUAACUACGUGCCAGCCGCCGCGGUAA
rnacentral:rRNA from 1 species